CGACGGCCAGGCCCGAGCUGCGCCGGACUGGGCCGGGGUGGGCUCGCAGGGACGAGGUUCGGGGACGGGACCCAGUUCCGUGGCGGGCUGCUUUCCUUCCUCAGAGGCCGCGAGGUCAUGGCGGCGGCUCGAGUUCCCUGCUUCCAGUGUGGGUUGGUCAGUUCCUCCACAGCGCUUUUAAACGCCGUGAGACGGUCCCACUCUGCCAGCUGCUCUGUGGCAAGCUGCCCAGCGUUUCACCCGUGUGUUCCCUGCCGCCCGCGCUCGGCGCGGCCUCGACUCAGCCUCCCCGAGGAGGUCCCCUCGACCGUCGUGGCCCUGGCGUUUGCCAUGCGAGGACAUCGCGUUGCGCUCCUGAGCCGAAACCUGUGCGCGCUCGGCGGCUGAGGCCUUUGGUGCCGCAGGAGGCAGAAACCGGAGCUCCCGUGCCCGGCCCCGCAGGGACCGGAAAGGCGAGCAGCCUGCGCUGCCCUCUCCGCCCGCUCGGAACCAGGGUCCCUAGGGUUCGGUCGCUCAGGUUCUGCCCUGAACCAGGCACAGGUCCAUCGGAUCAUUUCCACUUACGAAGUAAACGAUUUGGUUUUUUUAAAACUUCAUUUUAAACAUUAGGUAUUUUAAAUCAUCACAAAAUGAAGUUGGAAGACUAAGUUACUGGAGUCAACUUAGAUAACUUGAUACAUUACAUAUUAUCAAUGACAUUUUAAAAACAAAACUGAUUUUUGACUUCGGAAAACCAAGUAAUAAUUGUCAUUUCUAGUUAGAGACUGAAGCAAAUUGUGAAAAAUCAUGUAAAUACCUAGGCUACUUUCUCAAACUACUGUUGUUUUUCUCUUUUUUAAAGACUGCUAAAAAUCGUGAGAUUUGGAAGUAGAAGAUGUUCAGGUUAUGUUUUCAGAAAGAUGCUUGUCAAUCACAGUCAACAAGCUGUGGGUUUCCUGAAUGGAAGUAAAAGCCGCGCAGAGUUAAAAGUCGUCCCAUGUCUUGGGACUGUGCUUCUGGUGGCAGUGCCUCCCCUCUGUGGAUGAAACAUGCCGCGUUGGAUGCAUUCCCGUGAAGCAGGCAUUGUCUCUGCUCCCCGGAGGAUCCUAGCUCUCUGAAAGAGCUCUUUCAGGAAACACCUAGGUUCAACUUCAUGCAGCAGGAGCUCCAGUUGGAUUCACUUGGUACUUCAGUAUGCUGGAAACGAGAAAGCUUCAUUUAUAAUGUAAAGGUACCUAAGAGCCAUCUGACACUUCUAUUCAUGUCAGUAAGAAUGGUUUCUGUCCACACGGGCGUAGAGUCUGCCCCGGACAGGAUACACUGAUGAUGUCCAUUUCAACAUUAGCAUACGUGGACAUUUGCAGCACUUCCUGUUUUCUUAAUUUUUAACUUUCAAUUUUAAACUUUUAUUAACAAAAGGGGAACUGUACUGGAACGGAUGGAGCCAAAUGUACCACUGUGUGCAGCUUUGGUAAAGGAAUUUAAAGGAGGUAAAAUAUGUGCGCUUCAUUGUCUCGGUGGCAGAAAGAAGUGAGUCAGGACCUGGUACAAGGAUGUUGCAAGCCCUUCAUUUACUGACUUCUUGCCUCUGUCAGCUGCGGCUCAAAGCACUUCCUGUGUUGACUGAUUUGGCCUGGUGACAGUGGUGUGGGGCAGGUGCUGUGCAGCUGAGAAAAUAGGAGGUUAAGCACUUCCCCAAACUCACCAAGACAGCCUGUUCUCCACACCCCACACCAUCUAGCACCAGACUUCCCAGGGCAGGCAUGAAACAUGUGGGGACCUGCUCAGUGCACCCCAGACCUGCAGAGCCUGAACCUCUGAGCCAGCCCAGCCUGAGUUUUACUAAAGCCACUCAGACUAGAGUUUGAGAAUCCCUGGCAAAAAGGAAGGUGGUGGCAAUGUUAACGAUCUCUUUUCAUGGAUUUUCAUUCUAGAACAAAUGCUGGGAAGUUGCUCUAACAUACAGUAUGUGUGUUCCCAAAGGUGAAGGCUCCAGAUGUGGCGGCCAAGCUGAAGAGACCAUCAGAGAGGUGGGCCAGGGCCUCAGGGAGGGAGUGGGUGCUGCUGCAAACCAGUGGGCACCCAGGUCAACCUCACUGGCUCCCUCAGGGUUUUCUUCAGUUUUGGAAAACUACCUUUUACUGGCUGUAGAACCAUGUGUAUUCUUAAGACAUCAAAAGAAAUUCAUUUGCUUUUUAUUUUGAAAUAAUAGUAAAGAAUUUUGAAUAAAGGUUAAGAAAGUUGAAACUGAAUGAGGCCGCACCCUCGGAAUACAGUGGGUACAAAGCUGUGCUCCCGCUGAGGUCUUCCUGACACCAUGGAUUCUCGGGAGGUCCCUGCCUUGGCAGAGAAUUGAAUGUGCAAGAGCCUGAGCUUCCUUACAUAUUCCUUCCCACCAGGCUGAAGGAGAAGCAGGAUGAACAGCAGAAUUACCAGGUUCUGACUCUGACGGUGGCCAGUCUGUGUCUCUUCUUCAUGGUGCUUGCCACACACCUUGCAGAUUUCCUGACCUCCAGACAGCCCUCUCUUUCCCUUGCCUGGACCCUGUGUUUUUUCUGGAAGCAUCAUCUCCAGCAGAAUCUCCCAGGGCAAUGCUUCCCACCCAUCACCAGGCACAUGCAGGACAGGGAGGACAUUUUAUGCCUCUGUGUAUCCAUCAUCAAAUGAUUCCUUGAUUAUGAAACUGUCCUAUGUGCUCCUAAAAUGCAGGCUGUGGUGAGCCGUUCCCCCAUGGCCUGGGUACCCAGCUCCCAGAGGCUGGAUCGGCUCAAGGCAUCGGAGCCUGCCCUGCCUCUCCCUUGGGUGCCUCCCUCUGUGACUUUGACCCUGGGAUGCUCCUGGGCUCUGCAGGGUACAUAAGCCUGCCUUUCAAGGACUCAGACCAUUCCCUUCAGGGAGCAAGGGAAGGGUUGCUGCCAUCUCUGUGCUGUUUGUAAUGAGCACCCAGUGCAAUCCAAUCUGUUUAAAACAUGUGGAGAUGGUUACAUAAAAUGUUUGAGAUGAAUACUUAAAGUCAGGUUCAUAUAAUUACUCUUCAUUUAUAUCUCUUCAUUUCACUUGCACAAGACCCUCCUGACUGGCAGCAUGAGACCCACGUGGAACACAGCAGAGUGCGGAGUUACGCUGUUCACAGCACGGGUACCAUGCAGACCCUGUGUGCAAGGCUAGUUCCCAGCCAGGCGCUGCUGGGAGGUGGUGGCACCUUUGAGGGUGAGGCCGAGCAGGACAUUAGGUCAUGAAGGACACAUCCUUGAAGGGAGCUCUCAGACCACAGUCUCCUCAUCCUCUUUUUCACAUCCGGCCCUGAGGUGAGAGGCUUUGGUGGACCACACACUCCCACUUCGGUGCGCUGCCUCAGCCUAGGAAACUGCAGGGCAGACAACCACACCUGAAUCUCCAACAUGUGAGUCAGAAGAAACUACUUCUGCAGGGGAAGGGGGAGUUGGGGUGCAGGGCAAAGGAGAGAAGGGGAUGGAAUUCAUAUGAGAAAAUGGAACAGUGGAAACAAAGUCUGUAAACAGGGAGGGAGUGGAGGGGUGGAGGGAGGGCAGGGGAAGGGAAAAUAAGAACCUAAGAGAGUAUGUAAAGGUGCAGAUCUCCAAUGAUGAGUGUCAUUAUACUGUACACCUAAAAUGUACCAAUAAAAUUAAUUUAAAAAGAAGAAGA
ensembl:lncRNA